UGCCGCCAUUUUGUCCAGUGAGGAAAAGCGGAGCGGGAGUGUCGCUGAGGGUCGAGUCGGCUGCGAGCUUAGCGCGGGCUCCCUUCGGGCGCCCUCCCUCUUAGCAUCGCAAUGCAUCGUGACUCUUGUCCGCUGGACUGCAAGGUUUACGUGGGUAACCUUGGAAACAAUGGCAACAAAACUGAACUAGAGCGAGCUUUUGGCUACUAUGGACCACUGCGCAGUGUAUGGGUGGCAAGAAAUCCUCCUGGCUUUGCUUUUGUGGAAUUUGAGGAUCCACGAGAUGCAGCUGAUGCAGUAAGAGAACUAGAUGGAAGAACCCUCUGUGGGUGUCGUGUCAGAGUGGAGCUCUCCAACGGGGAGAAGCGGAGUCGGAACCGUGGUCCACCCCCAUCCUGGGGCCGGCGUCCUCGAGACGACUACCGCAGAAGGAGUCCUCCUCCUCGCCGCAGAGUCACCAUCAUGUCUCUUCUCACCACCCUCUGAGUCUGCAUUAGCCAGUCAACUAGCCCUUUCAGCGUCAUGUGACCAGCGCGCCCCAUGCAGCUUGGCUGGUGUCGUUUCACAUGACCCAGGCAUGGCCAGUCGUCAGGUUGCACCGCCCUUUGGUUCCCGAGCAUGCUGUUUUCUCUCAGCCUUCUCUCCAACCUUAACCAAAUCGGCAGCAGCCACCUCGACCGCCCACCCAAUUCCCGGCCAAUCAGCUCAGCUGUUUAUUUACCAAAUGUCUUCACAACAACUACAGCAGCAGCCUUCGGCUAACAAAAAAGCAGGAAAAAUCCACAACACCCCCUCCGCCAACCAACUAAAUACAACGCAACAUCUGGCAAAACCUUUUCAGCAAAUUCUUCUUGGCAGUCAGUCCGGCAGCCUCACCUCACCAUUUCUAGCUUGUUGAAACCAAAAACUAAUCACCGCGAAGGAGAAGCUUCUCUCGUAGCCGCAGCAGGUCCCUCUCCAGAGACAGAAGAAGAGAGAGAUCACUCUCACGGGAGAGGAACCACAAGCCCUCUCGUUCCUUUUCCAGGUCUCGCAGUCGCUCCAGGUCAAAUGAGAGGAAAUAGGACUGUGAGAAGGAGCUGUGUACAGGAAGCCCUUAGAUCUGAGGACAGGAGGAGUAUGUACAGAACAUUGUUUUGUUUUGAAACUUCAUAAAGCUUGGUGCAUUUUUAAAAUGUUUUAGCUGUUGAACUCGCUUUGUUCCUUGUAUCUUGUAACAGGUGGCAAAUGUAAAGAUGUGAAUCUGUAUAUGGUUCUGAGCAGAUCAUAUGAUUUGUAAUAAGCCCUUUACAAUGUACCAUUACACAUGGGGGGUGCUUGUGCCAAGUCUAGGCAGUGUGUCUCGCAUGGAUAGAAGAAUGCUUCAGGUCUUGAUGUGCUGGGGGGGGGUGUUGUGCUGGGGUUCAGCUCUCGGGAGGAGGGGUGCAAUGAAGGGGUGUCCAUUGUGGGAGCGUGGCUGGGAGCAGUGUCUGUCUAUGCUGAACAAGAUGUAGAUGCUUCAUAGGAGAGUUGUCAAACAGUUGGGAGCAGGGAGUGUGUGGAGGGAAUGACGGAGCUGCAGCUGUAUCCAGAGCUCUGGUUCUGACUUCCAUUACCUGGAACGGAGCUGCUUUAUAUUCUGUGAAAUAUAAACUUGUAGCCGUAGGGUCAGUUGACUUUGUACUUCAUGUCACUAGAGUACUCAACUAGGUGAUUGUUGAUUGCCCAUCUAUUCCAGAACCUCUGAACAGACCAAAUACACAGCAGAACUGACAACUGGAGUGGGUGCCUUGGGUGUGUAAUGGUACAUUGGGAAAGCUACGAUUUAAACAUUUCUUUACUGUACAAGAAUUUUCAUGUCACUUGUAAAAUGUCUUUUGUGAGAUCCUUGGGAUUAAAGUUUUGGUUACAACUUCUUGUUCAGUAUUUGAGUACCUGCUAUAUACACUCGGAUCACAGAAUGGGGGCUUGGGGUGCAACUGGGUUCGCAGGAAAUGUGCUCUGUGGGAUGGAGUGAGGUGUCAACUCACCCAUCACUGCCACGAGCAUCUAAUACUGCUGUUACUGAUGCAACCAAGCUGAGCUUAGGUGAUGCUGGCUUGACUUCUUGCUUGUUGGCAAGCUCUGGGAUGCUUACUUGGAAAACCAGCUGGAGAUUCAAAGGUUCACAAUGGUUUUGGUGUCCUGGAUGUGGCUUGGUAACACUGGAGCUAUUCUUCAUAUCUCAGUUUAGAAUCGGCUGGAGCAUGAACUGAAGCUUUGUGUGAAGAUUUCCCUGGGAUCAUAAAGCCACAGUGUGGCUCGAGCGUGGUCAUAGCUCCCAAACUGCCUCCUGCUUCCUUUUUUCCCCCCUCGAAUCCAAGAGAUGAGCUGCAUCCAUUCGCAUCAUGUGCACUUAGAUGAAAUCUGUCAUGCUGAACAACAGCCAUGUGGCUUAAUUUCCUUUGCUUGUAGUGGUUAGGGUGGGACAAGAUGAAGCCAAAUCCGUGAUGGACACAAUGCUGCUCCUCCUCAUGCUGCCUGGAAAGGGGCUGUGCAAGAGGUGUGUGGACAAGCAGCUGGGGCAGAGGUGCGACUGCGUUGCCUGCUGAGGAGAAGGUGACCAGCCUGGGAGUGCUGCUGAUGGGUGGAGUGAUGCGGCUUCUGCUUGAAAAGUUACUCUGAAACUGAAGUGACAAGGAAAUGUUUGUGUCGUGGAGCCAGGGACAUCCCUGGCCUCUCCCCACAGAUUCUAAGACCAGAAAGAGCUGCUCAGCAAUCUGUCCUGGCCAGAGGAGGACAGACAGGCACUCACCAGUGGUUCCCUGGCACAAAGAGGUGGCUCCCACCCCCUGCUCAGCACCAGCCCUGCUCUGAACCCCCUGGUGAUGGGAUCUCUGCUGCCUGUGCCCAUGAAUUGUCUCAGCCUGGUUUCACAGUGCUCGCACCGAGGAGCUGAGCUCCUUUGCUGACUGGAGAGAGGUUCAGCUGCCUCUGCUCUUGCCCAGCAGAAGCAUCCUGAGGCUAACACCGAGUUCCUCAGACAUCCAUCAGUGCAGCAUCUGGGCACAGCUGUUAAAUGCCAUUAACUCCCCUCUGUUGAUGUGCAGCGUGUUCUUUUCUCACA